rnacentral:lncRNA from 7 species
GUGGUUCCUGCUUGUUCUUGGUGUAUUUUCAGCUGGGAGUUGGUGCCUUGGGUUAUCUUCAUCCUGCACAUAGGAACAGCAUGGAGAGGAGUUGGAGACUGCAGGCUCUACAGGUGCCUGUAGGAGGGAGCCUGGGGGCAGCUCUUGUCCAAAGACCUUUACCAGUGUGGUUGGAGAAACGCCAACAGCUGUGAGCAGAUCUGGCAUUGGCUUGAGGAAUCGUGCUGGGGAACCACAGCCAGGACUGCCUGGUCCUCAAACAGCUGCUGAGGGAAGGCUGCUUCCUGAGAGGGACACAGCAGGGACUGAAGGAUGCCAUUCACUGGCUGAAGACUGGGGAUGGAUUUGACUUAGCAUGUUGAUGGGUGUGGACAUCCUGCAUCUCACUCAUACCAACCAGAAGCUUUUUAUUCUUGCCUGCAAGCGCUGGUGAAGUAACAACAAGCACCAUGCAUGGUCCAGCACAGGAAGCCCUGCGAGCACAGCCACCUCCAAGGCAAUAAAAGCAUCACUGCGAAAAAUGAAAAACAACAAAACAGAGCAUGGGACUACUCCCAAUGCCAGUUCAUCUCCGUUUCAAAUAUCAGUCCCAUUCAGUUCUAAAUGUCAGGGCCCAAUUCUCCAAUUCCCAUCAAAACAGAGGCAGUGCAACCCUCCCUUCUCCUGUGGGUCCCUGCCUGGUGGUAGCACCUGGAGGUGCUUAGUCCCGCUCUGCCUGCAGCACUGAGCUUCUUCCAGCCCAAGGGAAGCCCUGGCUCAACCAGC